rnacentral:lncRNA from 13 species
UGUUAAUUACCAGUUCUCACAGUGAUGAUGGUAGAUUUCUCUGAGGAUAUAUCACUGAGAAUGAUUUUGAAGAACUUUUUGACAUGGUGAUUACAAGUGCAUUGAAGCCUCUUUUCUUCUUUUAUUUACUAAGUCAGAGGCCUUUCCAGAGACAUGAGAAUAAUGAAGAUCAGGAGGCACUGCUAUCUCUGUAAGCCUGGCUGGUACUCUCAAGGAAAUGCUGUCCACCUCUGUGAAGUUCUGAAGAAAAUGACUGACGGAGUUUCCCUCUUGUUGCCCAGGCUAGAGUGCAAUGGUCCGAUUUCAGCUCACCACAACCUCCACCUCCUGGGUUCCAGCAAUUCUCCUGCCUCAGCCUCUCAAGCACCUAGGACUAUCGGAGUCUGCAAUGAUGCCGGCUAAUUUUACUAUGGAAAUGAUGUUAGACAAAAAGCAAAUUUGAGUGAUUUUCUUACUCAAGUUCAAAAUGGGUCGUAAGGCAGCGGAGCCAAAUUGCAACAUCAACAAUCCAUUUGGCCCAGGAACUGCUAAUGAACAUACAGUGCAGUAGUGGUUCAAGAAGUUUUUCAAAGAAGAUGGGAGCCUUGGAAAUGAGGAGCAUAGUGGCUGGCCAUCAGAAGUUGACAAUGACCAACUGAAAGCAAUCAUUGAAGUUGAUCCUAUUACAACUACAUGAAAAGUUGUUGAAAUACUCAAUGUCCACCAUUCUACUGUCAUUCAACAUUUGAAGCAAAUUGGAAAGAUAAAAAGUUUUAAUCCCAAAGCAUGUAUUUUUAUGCUACAGAAAUAAACAAACUUACUUCUCCUUGGAAAAAUAUGUU